rnacentral:lncRNA from 1 species
AAUACUAUGAUGUAAACCCAUGUGUGAUAGGGUUUCUUGUAAGUGAGUUAGUAAUAGUAUAAAUAGAGUUGUUAUGUAAUGAAUAAGGUAAUUUUGCUGCCGUGAAAGGUAGCCCCUCUUAUCCUUAAUGAAAUAUCAGUUCAAGUUCUUGUGUUCUUGGUGACAAAGCUAAAGCCUUUUCCUUUCUUUACUUUCUUGUUCAAUAAAGCUUUCAUAAGCUAUUUUAUUUCUGUUUAAAUAAAGCUCUUUGAGCUCAAUCUUUCUAGUUUCAUAAACACUCACAUGGUAUCAGAGCUUCAGUCGAUUCAUGGGUCUUAUAUUUUUUUUUUUAGAGCUUCCGCCUACUGUCUGAAACAAGGAAAGAAAAACUUUGUCUUUUCAGUCAAGCCUCUACUCCUUUUAUAGUUCAAAGUCCGUGUCUGAAGAAAAAAAAAAAAGAAGGUUUUGUUUCUCUUCAACGACAAAACAAAACCAGAAGGGACAGAGAAGAAUAAAGACAUAGUCAGCUUCUUCAUCACUUAUCCACGGUAUUUUCUAUGUUCUUUUCUCAUGAGACAGAACAAAGGAUAAAAAAAAAAAAGGAAAUUUGUGUGUUGGGUUGAGUUGCUGGCUAGUUUAGAUUCUGAGGUUAAGAUAGGUUGGGAAAAGGAACGCUGAACUAAAUAUGCUAGUUUUGGGUUGAUAACAAUUAAAUUGUGGCUGCAAGUUCCUGGUUUUCAAGAAGGCACACAAGGUGCUUGAUAAAAUGCCACAAAGAAAGUUAGAAUGGUUCAGCGGUAGUUUAUAGUUGGCUAAUGGAUAGGAGUUAGCAAGGAUAGCUUGUGGGGACAUUCCCAUUUGCUUGGUGAUGGAUACAGAGGAACCAAGAAUUGUGUGAUGAACAAUGGUGAAAGAAUACCUCUGAGAGACUAUACUAAACUCUCCAAGUCAAAGAUACCUCUGAGGGAGUCAUGAUAGAUCUCCAAGUAUACACCAAAAGUUUUCAUCUGGUUCAGAAGUCUACUGUAUGAUCAUCUUCGACUGAUGCCUCCUCCAAAGCCAAAUUCAUGUGGAUUCAAACUUGUCAGCUUUGUGUUCACCCGCUGCCAAGUUUGCGGGGGAGUAUUAACACAAGACAGCAUUUCAAGACCAAGCCCAAGAUAAUACUAACAAGCCCAAUACUAUGAUGUAAACCCAUGUGUGAUAGGGUUUCUUGUAAGUGAGUUAGUAAUAGUAUAAAUAGAGUUGUUAUGUAAUGAAUAAGGUAAUUUUGCUGCCGUGAAAGGUAGCCCCUCUUAUCCUUAAUGAAAUAUCAGUUCAAGUUCUUGUGUUCUUGGUGACAAAGCUAAAGCCUUUUCCUUUCUUUACUUUCUUGUUCAAUAAAGCUUUCAUAAGCUAUUUUAUUUCUGUUUAAAUAAAGCUCUUUGAGCUCAAUCUUUCUAGUUUCAUAAACACUCACAGAUUUGAUGUUGUGCACUUGCAUAUUAUCUAACAUCGUAGAUGGUCUCCUAUUAGUCUGCUUGACUUGGCUUUCUUGUGUAUUGCUUAGUAUGCAUCUCUUUAAGAUAAGUCUUGGAACCUGGAUGUUCUUUAUUGCUUUUUUUGAUGAUUGUUUGAGCUGACUUAGGCCAUGACUGUUCUGAGUUAGAUGAUACGGUCUGGCAUUUACUACCC